AUACGGAGGAUCCGAGCGUUAUCCGGAUUUAUUGGGUUUAAAGGGUGCGCAGGCGGCCAUUUAAGUCAGCGGUUAAAUCGUGGGGCUCAACCCCAUUCUGCCGUUGAUACUGGGUGGCUUGAUUGCGGUCGAGGUUGGCGGAAUUCGUUGUGUAGCGGUGAAAUGCAUAGAUAUGACGAAGAACACCGAUUGCGUAGGCAGCUGACCAGACCGCAAAUGACGCUCAUGCACGAAAGUGCGGGGAUCGAACAGGAUUAGAUACCCUGGUAGUCCGCACAGUAAACGAUGAAUACUUGUUUUCGGCGAUAUAAUGUCGGAGGCAAAGCGAAAGCGAUAAGUAUUCCACCUGGGGAGUACGCCGGCAACGGUGAAACUCAAAUGAAUGGACGGGG
rnacentral:rRNA from 1 species